rnacentral:snRNA from 1 species
GGUUCUCCGUUCGAGUCCCAUAAGUUCCACAACUAACAAAUUCACAGGAGAAGAUUAGCAUGGCCCCUGCACUAAGGAUGACACGCUUUACAAAGAGACGCUACCAAUUUUU